rnacentral:lncRNA from 1 species
AUCAAUGCAUUUGUAUACUAGGGGCAGGUCUUAGCCUGUCCCUAUGCCCUUUCACUCUAGGGAUCUCUACAUCCUCCUCUUUCCCACUCCACCUGAGCCACCUACGCCUCUUUGGGGGACCCUUGUGCCAAGAAACCUACCUUAAUCCAGAUCAAGUGAAUGAAGCCUGGGAUUCUGGAUCUCAAGGGUUCCCCCAAAGCCUCUGUCUUCCUUCUGUAGCUGAGCUGCUUCAGCCUCUGUGGGACACCCAUUUGAAGGAACCUGUCUAAAUCCAUGUAAGGUGAGUCAUGGCUGGGGAGGAAGGCUGCUGAUGAAAGGCUUACUGUCCUAACUUAAAUAGGAGGGUUGCUUCUUUCAGGGAGUUGGAUAAAGUUGCGUUUGGUGACUAGCCUGGCUGACUGUGAGAUUGUCACUCCAUCAUAUGUAGUGCAUCUGAGGGGGUCUAGAGGGAUGCGGGCAUGAAAAUCACAUUAGCAAGAGCCCCAGGGCA